GAUGAACGCUGGCGGCGUGCCUAAUACAUGCAAGUCGAGCGAACAGACGAGGAGCUUGCUCCUCUGGCGUUAGCGGCGGACGGGUGAGUAACACGUGGAUAACCUACCUAUAAGACUGGGAUAACUUCGGGAAACCGGAGCUAAUACCGGAUAAUAUCUUGAACCGCAUGGUUCAAUAGUGAAAGACGGUUUUGCUGUCACUUAUAGAUGGAUCCGCGCCGCAUUAGCUAGUUGGUAAGGUAACGGCUUACCAAGGCAACGAUGCGUAGCCGACCUGAGAGGGUGAUCGGCCACACUGGAACUGAGACACGGUCCAGACUCCUACGGGAGGCAGCAGUAGGGAAUCUUCCGCAAUGGGCGAAAGCCUGACGGAGCAACGCCGCGUGAGUGAUGAAGGUCUUCGGAUCGUAAAACUCUGUUGUUAGGGAAGAACAAAUGUGUAAGUAACUAGGCACGUCUUGACGGUACCUAAUCAGAAAGCCACGGCUAACUACGUG
rnacentral:rRNA from 1 species